rnacentral:rRNA from 1 species
UUCCGUAGGUGAACCUGCGGAGGGAUCAUUACACAAUAUGAAAGCGGGUUGGGACCUCACCUCGGUGAGGGCUCCAGCUUGUCUGAAUUAUUCACCCAUGUCUUUUGCGCACUUCUUGUUUCCUGGGCGGGUUCGCCCGCCACCAGGACCAAACCAUAAACCUUUUUGUAAUUGCAAUCAGCGUCAGUAAACAAUGUAAUUAUUACAACUUUCAACAACGGAUCUCUUGGUUCUGGCAUCGAUGAAGAACGCAGCGAAAUGCGAUACGUAGUGUGAAUUGCAGAAUUCAGUGAAUCAUCGAAUCUUUGAACGCACAUUGCGCCCUUUGGUAUUCCAAAGGGCAUGCCUGUUCGAGCGUCAUUUGUACCCUCAAGCUUUGCUUGGUGUUGGGCGUCUUUGUCUCUCACGAGACUCGCCUUAAAAUGAUUGGCAGCCGACCUACUGGUUUCGGAGCGCAGCACAAUUCUUGCACUUUGAAUCAGCCUUGGUUGAGCAUCCAUCAAGACCACAUUUUUUUCAACUUUUGACCUCGGAUCAGGUAGGGAUACCCGCUGAACUUAAGCAUAUCAAUAAGCGGAGGAA